UACAGAGGGGGCAAGCGUUGUUCGGAAUUACUGGGCGUAAAGCGCACGUAGGCGGAUCGAUCAGUCAGGGGUGAAAUCCCAGGGCUCAACCCUGGAACUGCCUUUGAUACUGUCGAUCUGGAGUAUGGAAGAGGUGAGUGGAAUUCCGAGUGUAGAGGUGAAAUUCGUAGAUAUUCGCAAGAACACCAGUGGCGAAGGCGGCUCACUGGCCCGGUACUGACGCUGAGGUGCGAAAGCGUGGGGAGCAAACAGG
rnacentral:rRNA from 1 species